CGCUGGUAGGUGCGGACCACGGAGGGGUUGUUCAGCCGAGUCACAGUCACGCGUGAUGGAUCCGGCGUGGGGCUGAUCGGUGAGCUGGAGAGGGCAGGAUGCUGCGCGACAUGGGAAAGUGCUCCCGCCAUUUACUAGUCUGUGAAAAAUCCAACUUCUCCCACAGCAAGUCGGCGCAUCGCAAGCACAUAGAUAAUCAUUACUAUAACUACAGGGUCUCUAUUUUGAUACCAGAAUGUCGAAUGAUUCCACCAGGAAUCAGUGCCAUCAGCAGAACUUUAGAAAGCUAUUACCUGGUGAAGCAGUUACCACUCUGUGAAAUCCUUGAGCCUGAAUUCAUCAACACGUAUGUUAAGAAAGGUAACCUUUAUGCACUGUCAUACAAUACCAGAAUAGAUCAAGACAACACUGUAGCUUUGCUUCCAACAGGGAAGUUAAUUUUAUCUAUUGAUAAGGACACCUAUGAGGAACUUGGCUUAGAAGGACAACCAUCCAAAUACUCCCACAGGACAGUAAUGAGAUACAUUGUUACAAUUGAUUUGAGUGAAGCCACAUUUGCUCCUGGUGGAAAGAGAUACAACCGAGUUGUGUGGGCAUUGAAAGAGAAGAAACCUUUGUCCUUCGACCUUUUGAUGUCCUGUAGAUCCUCAGGUGGAAAUGAACCAUCUUUGGCAUCUUACUUUGUGAAGUACCAAUGCCAGGUAUACCAGCCCACAUUGUCAGUCAAGAUAUUAAAUGAAACUGUUUGUCCUGUUGUACUGAGUAAUGAACUGAAUGGAAAGGAAAGUGAAUCGUGUAGCUCUCAGGAAUUCCUGGACUGGCUUGGAGCAGCUUUCAGUGACAUUAAUUGCAAUAAUCAGGCAGACAGCUUUCUGUCUUCCUACUGCUGUCCUGAACCCAACACUGUCCUGGAUAAGGCAUGCCUUUGUACCAUUUCCGGCUUUAUAAUUCCCGAAGGAAUAAAUCAGUUAUUGGACCAGCUUAGGUUGUACUUUGAGGAACCGAAGCUGGCCCCGUGGGUCAGUAUGACAGUUCAUGGCUUUGCAGACAGCCCAGUAUCCUGGGCACAGAGUGAACAUGGCUACCAUAAAGGAGGAGAGAACUUCUACAGUUUUGUUCUGUUCAGGAACCAGGAUUACUGGUUGCACAUGGCUGUGGGGACUCAUAGUAACUGUCCACCAUAGCAUCUACCCCUGAGCCACAGUUUGACCUUUGAAGAGGAGUUACAGGAUUUGAUUUAUUAAUAAAUGCUUUAUACAAGGGAAACUAAAAUAUAUUCAACUCAAAAAUUAAGGUGUACAAAAUGCUUACACUACUAUUCUAAAAUAUUUAAUGUUUUCUCUGUUUUUUAAAUGGUCUUCAUCAUAAGGUUUCAUAAGAGAGCUUGUUUAUGAAUAGGCUUUCAAUCUUUCAUUUCAGGGAAGCAUUUUCAGUUUGUAUUGGGAUUUGCCAAAAUUAUGGGUAUGAAGAAAAAUUCAGUUAAUAAGAGGGAGAUGAAGAGAGAAGAUGCUGGGGAGAACUGGUCGUAGGAUACGACCCGGUGGGAGACCCGUUUGUCCGAGAUUGCGAGUGAUGAUCGGAAGGUGGUGUGUGCAGACCGAGGGCCCAGCGUAUGAGUGACAGAGGUUCAAGAUGAGCUCCAACUUGUGCACAUUUGACUGUUUGAGGCAUAGGCACAGUCAUUUACCAGUUUCUAUUUCCCAUGAUAGGCGUGUCUAAAACUGGACAGCAUAGGUAUCGGGUGAGAGAGCAGAGGUGUGAAAAGGAUCUGAGGGGUAAAUGUUUCACACAGUGGUGGCAGCAACAGCAUUCGAGAAGCAUUUGAAUGAGCAGGGCAUAGAGGUAUAUGGAAUUAAUGUAAAUAGGCAAAAUGGUUAACACAGAUGUGGCGGGCCGAAAGGCCUGUUUCUAUGUUGUACAACUCCAUGAUUCUAAAGACAACACCUAUUUACAUAGGAGAUUAUGAAAUUGACAUAGUAUUUCAGCCUGUAUAGGAACACUGGUAUCUCACUUUGAGCAGCAACCCAAGUCACACUGCCAGUCUCAUCCUGGGCAAUAGUAGAUCUAGCACUGACAGUGCUGGGCGAAAACUUAUUCACACUUUUUAAAUGGAUGUGGAAAGAUUGCUUAGCUUUGACCUCUUCUGUUAAUGUACAGUAAUGUGUGCCCCUAAUAUCUGUCGAUGGGCUAAUGACUGUGAUUGCAAAUUGAAAGUCUGUUUAUAGACACUGGGACCACUGCUUAAAGCGGCUGUGGCUGCGUGGCUUUCAUAGUGGAGGGCAGCCAGAUUUGGAGUCUCCUGCAGAGCCUGCGCACAAGAUGCAGACAUAUUUUUCCCCAGCCAAGGGUGUUAUUAGCUAGGAAAAGGGGAACACUCAUCACGUUUAGAAAGAACUUCCAGAAUGGUUACAUCCCCAGAAAUCGGUCAGGGUCUAUCCAAACCAGAAACCCUGGAUCAACAGUUCCGUCCACGCAGUACUCACCACGAGAGACAGAGCUUUCGCCGCCGGUAACCACCAGGAACUCAAGAAAUGCAGCUAUAACAACAGGGACAAGAUCCAGACACAACUCGCCACCAACACACGCAGCAUAUGGCAAGGUCUGCACACCAUCACAGACUUCAAAGACAAACGCAAAGGAGCCUCUCUCCCAGAAGAUCUAAAUCUUUUUUUAAAAUGCUCGGUUCGAAGUCGCCGACACUGAGCCACUAAGGAGUGCCGCCCAUGCGACCUUCACCUUGGUCAUCUCUGAGGCAGAAGUACGCAGGUGUUUCCAACGAGUGGACAGUCACAAGGCUGCGGGAAUGAACGGCGUCCCAGGGCGGGUACUCAGGAUGUGCGCGGCACAACUGGCAGAUGUGUUUACAGACAUUUUUUUUUAUCUCUCCCAGUGUAGAGUGCCCUCCUGCUUCAAAACAAAGACCAAGGUAACAUUUAUGAACGACUGGCGUCCUGUCGCAUUCGUCUCAAUAAUAACAAAUGCUUUGAGAGGCUGGUCAAGGACUACAUCUGCAGCUUGCUACCACCCACUCCGGACCCCUACAAUUCGCCUACCGACACGAAGGGUCUCGGCCCGAAACGUCGACUGUACCUCUUCCUAGAGAUGCUGCCUGGCCUGCUGCGUUCACCAGCAACUUUUAUGUGUGUUACCGACACAACCGACUGACAGCCACAACCCCACUCUCCGUCCUUACACAUUUGGAGAACAGGGACGGGUAUGUGAGAAUGCGGUUCAGCAUUCAACACCGUAAUUCCCGCCAGGCUUGACAAGAAGCUCAGAGGCCUCGGCCUUCACCUCAUCUUCAUUUUUUUUUGAAAGGAGAAACCACAGUAGUCGAUAUCUAGUCUGACCUAUAUUUAUUUAAAGUUUGAGAUCAAUUCUAAAACGCAGGAAAUUUGUAUUGCUCUUCAACUAAACCAUAGUUCAUCCUUUUUUAAAGCCUUAUUAAUCUGCAUUCAUGGUUUAUCCAUUUUUCCUCACAGUCAUAGUCAUACUUUAUUGAUCCUGGGGAAAUUAGUUUUCCUUACAGUUGCACCAUAAAUAAAUAGUAAUAAAACCAUAAAUAGUUAAAUAGUAAUAUGUAAAUUAUGCCAGGAAAUAAGUCCAGGACCAGCCUAUUGGCUCAGGGUGUCUGACCCUCCAAGGGAGGAGUUGUAAAGUUUGAUGGCCACAGGCAGGAAUGACUUCCUAUGUCGCUCCGUGCUGCAUCUCGGUGGAAUGAGUCUCUGGCUGAAUGUACUCCUGUGCCCAACCAGUACAUCAUGUAGUGGAUGGGAGACAUUGUCCAAGAUUACAUGCAACUUGGGCAGCAUCCUCUUUUCAGACACCACUGUCAGAGAGUCCAGUCCCAUCCCCACAACAUCACUGGCCGUACGAAUGCCAGGAAGCCCUUGAUCAUGCAGACUACUUACUUUUCAAGUUCUUCCUCCCAAGCCUGCCCCAAAUUUAGCCAUCCACAAGUUGAGAUUGAAUGUUUGAAGUCUAGGCCAAUAACAUAAAUUGAAAACAUUUGUCCCUGCACUGAACACGGUGGGCCUCAUUUACUGUCCUUUAACUUUACUCUGCUCUUUUUACUAAAGAAAUUACAAAACCCAUUUUACUGCUUGUUUAGAUUCAAUGUGCUGUGGCCUUAUUUAAUAAUUUAUUAUGUGGCAUUACCACUGUUCACUCUAUUAUCUCUUUCUAGAAUUCAAUCAAGUUGUUCUAUUUUGAAUUCCAUAUUGACCAUUCAUUAUGAAAACAGUUUCUAUUAAUUUUCCUG